rnacentral:RNase_P_RNA from 2 species
UAAGUAGGACAGACAAUCGCGGCUGCAUGUACCGAAAGGUCGCAGGUGAGGAAAGUCCGGGCUUCACAGGGCAGGAUGCCGGAUAACGUCCGGUAGAGGUGACUCUAAGGCCAGUGCAACAGAAAUAAACCGCCUGAGAAGACUCAGGUAAGGGUGGAAAGGCAGUGUAAGAGACUACCGCCCCGGUGGUAACAGCGGGGGCACAUGUAAACCCCAUCCGAAGCAAGACCGAACGAAAACAAUGUGGCGGCCCGUCACGUUUUAGGUAGGUCGCUUGAAACUGUCGGCAACGGCAGUUCUAGAUAGAUGAUUGUCCAACGACAUAACCCGGCUUAUCGUCCUGCUUAGAUU